ensembl:lncRNA
CCAAAAGUACCUCACUGUUCGCAUUUAGCUCUGAAUACUAAUGAGAUCAGGCUGUAAAUGAUCUUUGUAGGCGGCACAGAGCACAGAGAAAGGACCUCUUCAAACUGUUAGAGCCCUCAGUGAGGUCUAAAUCCCGCACGGGACACUUUUAGGGAUGUUCUGACCCAAUUCACAACCAAACAGGAAGAAAUGGCCGAAGCCUAACAAGAUUUAUUUUCAUUUGCUUUCUAGAUUUCGCUCGCUGUAUCUUUAAAGCACUUGAAGUUUUCUUGGCAGCUCAGGGAAGAACUGCAAGUUCAGCCAAAAUAGACAAUAAAGCAAAGGGGAGGAACAUGCCAAAAUGAAAGGGGCAACUAGUUCCAGGGGUUCAUUUUUCCUUCAUGAUUCACGCUGGAAAAGAAAGCACUUCCCUGUCCUCAGAUGAACUCUCGCCGCGCUCUGGAGGAGGGGACGGACGCGCGCGCGCGCGCACAAGCAGAACUGGGUCAACUGCAGACGAGUCAAAAGAAGCGAGAGAGUGUCGUGUUGAGCUGACAGCACAGCUGUGUUUCCAGUGGAUCACAGACAGACAGGUGAUGUGUCCUGUCUGGCUCUUUGGCUGCGCACCAAGUAAUGUGAUCAAUCAGAGGUACUUCAGAAAUCCCGCAGUCGCAGGUGUCACUCAUAAACAAACAUGCUGCUCCAGCUUGAGUUCACGGAGGGCGUCUGUCCUCACGCGCCCCGGGAGCUUUUACCUGCUUGUGUCUUGCAUGGCUGUUGUGUUCAGAGACGAAGAGCGAGGAUCAGCCCUGAUGACCCAGAAAGACGCUCAUGGAUGGGCCUAAUUAGAUCAGCCCGGUGUGACGAACGGGAGAUGACGUCAUGGCUCUGCUGGCCGGUCAUGUGACUGGCUUAAAUUGUGUUUGUGCUCUGAUCUGGGAUCAGAUGACCACUGUAGUGUUACUUAAUCAUAAACUUCAUUAGAGAACCAGGCUAAAUUAUAUACAUUAAAAUAUUAUUUCUGAUUGGAUGAGCCACGUUAGAUUUGUAAAAUGCAGGAUAUUAAAAAUAGCAUUUGUUUAAUCACACAGUAUACAGUGUUAGAUCUCAAGAAUACCACUAAUUUAGCCAUUUAUAUAAAGUGUGCACAGCAAUUUUGCAUCAUUCUCUCUGGCAGCAAGUAUUUUUUUAUUUUACAUAUUGUAUACUUAUUUUAAACGUAAAUAUAUAUUUUUUAAUGUUUAUGAAAGUUUAAAUAAAUAUAAGUGCAUGUUUAAAAACAAUACGACAUUGUAUUUUUAACACUUAAAGUUAUAUACAUAUAAUUUUCACAUUUUAAGAAAUAAAUGUACAUUUAUGUUUAUUCUCCUUGUGGCCUUUUUACAGAUCAUCUGAUCUUUCUCACUAGACUCUCUCACUCUUUAUUUCUUCUCUGUCAAGUUUCUCCUUUAAUCACACCGGUCAUCCCAGUAUAGAUGCAACAUCUGGAUUUCAUCGCCGCUGGAGUGAUGAUAAACACUCUCACAGCUGAUCCAAAACCCACAUCGCACGGAUGGAGUCAGUAGACAUCAGACAGAAGCUCAGAUGAAGCUAUACGUAGAUCCUACUCACUGGAUUAUUGGUAGGCUAUUAGUUGUGUGCUUGUGUGUGUUUGGUAUCUAAUAUACUGCAGAUAAACGGCCUGACAACUGCAUUUUCUCAUUCACAGCCUGCUGUUUCAAUUAUGUGCACAAGAACGUGAUAAUAGAAAAAACAAGAACAAUGUAACUUUGAGCUCCGGCGACGUCUGCUGGCAGCUCUGGGUACUGCAUCGUUCCAGUGCGGCUUUAUUUUGUUACUCAAACAAGCUUGCUUUCCCACAUUAACUUCCAAAACAUUCUUGUAAUAAAACAUAGUAUAUUUCUUUGAAAAAGUGAAGAAUUACCUCUAGCUGUGGUCUCUAAACUACUAUUAACCUGACGUAGGUCCAUGCUGAAUUAGAUUUUUUCCUUGCAUCGCUCAGAUUAAUAGCGUUUCUCUGUGAUUUAGCCCUGGAGAUGUGUCUGUAAUAGCAUAUGCCUUCCAGGCCUAAUUACCCUAAAUGCAAUUUAAGUUUAUUAUCUUUUGUAUCCAGGGAGAACUGCACAACUCCGUUAUUAACCAAACUGUCCUCCUUUCUUACUGUCCGACAAUUUACAGCAGGAUUCAAUCAAGUUACCGUAAGUAAAACCGAUGAUUUUUACUUUCGUUGACGGGAAAGCACUCGAUGGUCAGGCCGCUGUGGGCCUCUGGUCAACAGAAUACUUUUUGCAGUCUUCAUCCACGUCCCAUUGACGGAUUUUGACCAAAAGCAAAUAAACGGAGAACAUUAGAGCAGAAGGCAAAGUAUGCAGUGUGUUAAAAUCCACUCUCAUUCGAGUCACUUAACAGAAUUAUUAAGUAUUGUAUCUUUUAUUAAAUAAAAAAAAAGGCAAGAAAAACCUCAAACCUGGAUUUGUUGUCAUAGUCUGGCAUCAUUUUUCUGUCACUUUACUGUCUAUCCAAGAAGACCAGCCUGAAUUUAUUUUGGUUUAAUAUGCAUAAAUGUGUGUUUUUGUAUUUGUUGUGUAUAUUUUGUUGCAUGCUAGAGUCUGAUAGGAUUAGCUAAGCAACAUAAUAACAGCACACUAUAAGAAGAGUCAUCGUCACUGGAGCAUGGUCACAUGACUUCUGCAGCUCAGGUGAUUGGCUCAGAAAGAUCUCUGAGAGCAAAGAUGUCCGAAUUGAAAUCUCCAGGUAUUACAGAACACCUUGUUUAAACAGACGUUCCUGGUGGCCCGUAACAGUCAUCUGUCACUCAUCGGCCCAGAAAACAGCACCUAAUGGCUUUCACAAGUCAGCGUGGAAUAACUGUUUAUAAUCCAUCAGCCAGGCCUGUUUGAGUUCACAUUGAGAGCUGAGCUCAUUUUGCAUACGGCGAAUUUAAAACCAGCCUAAUGUGGAAAAUGAAACGCUUGGAUCUGAAAAACACAACUUUAUUAACAGGUCUGAGAAUGCCAUUGACAUCCACGCUGACGAUGAGGUCAUGUUUACACAGCGUCUGCUUGAAGAUGAGUCCCAGAAUGCACACACACACACUCACUCAUACAAUGCUUACGGUUGUCUUUUCCUUCUUGACAUCAGACAGAAACUCGGAGAUGAAGCUAUACGCGGACCACAAAAUCACAGAGCAUCAAACAAUAAAAGCCAGUUUGAUUUGUCUUGUUUGACUCUGUUGGCAUCAUUUGUGAGUCGAAUCUCCUGAGGGUCCUACACGUUGUGCACAGAGUUGUUCCCUAUCUAGUGGAUUCCAGAUCAGUCACUUCUGAGGUUUCAGGACAUUUUAAGGAUUAGUUCACUUCAAAAUGUUCCUGUCUUUCUGUUUUCAUUCGCAAAGAAAUUAAGUUU